AUUGAACGCUGGCGGCAUGCCUUACACAUGCAAGUCGAACGGCAGCGCGGGGCAACCUGGCGGCGAGUGGCGAACGGGUGAGUAAUAUAUCGGAACAUACCCUAGAGGUGGGGGAUAACGUAGCGAAAGUUACGCUAAUACCGCAUACGCACUAAGGUGGAAAGUGGGGGAUUCGCAAGAACCUCAUGCUCAUGGAGUGGCCGAUAUCUGAUUAGCUAGUUGGUGAGGUAAAGGCUCACCAAGGCAACGAUCAGUAGCUGGUUUUGAGAGAAACGACCAGCCACACUGGAACUGAGACACGGUCCAGACUCCUACGGGAGGCAGCAGUGGGGAAUUUUGGACAAUGGGGGCAACCCUGAUCCAGCAAUGCCGCGUGAGUGAAGAAGGCCUGGUUGUAAGUA
rnacentral:rRNA from 1 species